AACGAACGCUGGCGGCAGGCUUAACACAUGCAAGCCGAGCGCCCCGCAAGGGGAGCGGCAGACGGGUGAGUAACGCGUGGGAAUCUACCGUGCCCUACGGAAUAGCUCCGGGAAACUGGAAUUAAUACCGUAUACGCCCUACGGGGGAAAGAUUUAUCGGGGUAUGAUGAGCCCGCGUUGGAUUAGCUAGUUGGUGGGGUAAAGGCCUACCAAGGCGACGAUCCAUAGCUGGUCUGAGAGGAUGAUCAGCCACAUUGGGACUGAGACACGGCCCAAACUCCUACGGGAGGCAGCAGUGGGGAAUAUUGGACAAUGGGCGCAAGCUUGAUCCAGCCAUGCCGCGUGAGUGAUGAAGGUCUUAGGAUUGUAAAGCUCUUUCACCGGUGAAGAUAAUGACGGUAACCGGAGAAGAAGCCCCGGCUAACUUCGUGCCAGCAGCCGCAGUAA
rnacentral:rRNA from 1 species